CCCUUAGAUGUUCUGGGCCGCACGCGCGCUACACUGACGAAGUCAGCGAGCAUGUCCUACGCCGACAGGUGCGGGGAAUCUUGUCAAACUUCGUCGUGAUGGGGAUUGAUUAUUGAAAUUCUUGAUCAUCAACGAGGAAUUCCUAGUAAGCGCAAGUCAGCAGCUUGCGUUGAUUACGUCCCUGCCCUUUGUACACACCGCCCGUCGCUACUACCGAUUGAAUGGUUUAGUGAGAUCCUUGGAUCGGCCCUGUCGCGGCUGGCAACGGCCGCGUCGGCGCGUCGAGAAGACGAUCAAACUUGAUCAUUUAGAGGAAGUAAAAGUCGUAACA
rnacentral:rRNA from 1 species